CUUAGGCCCAAAUGAAAUAUUAGUUUACCUUUUCUGUGCAAACCUUAUCAGAAGGAGAUCCCAAUAAUGGAUUAUGUGACAAAAUAGACCAAAUUUCUAAAAAUUUUAAAUGUUGUCUUGUUCAAUCCACAGAAUAAUUCACACCUGAUAACUAAGUGCAUAACAAACAUAAACCCACUAAUUUAACCAAUCAACCUGAUUUUAAAGUUCAUAAAUUUUUAAAAAGUCAGCAUUGUCAGAGCUCCUUUCUGCCCUUAUUUCCAUGUCACAGGCAGAACACACCAAGUCUACCAGGGGGGCAAAAUCAUGCAGGUAGGGAGAAGGACAUCCCACCUGCUCAUGUAACUAAGCACCUUUUCCUUCUUUCUUACAGAAAGAAAUCAAAGAACUUGGCCAAUAAUUAAGUCAAACUGUUUCAGUGAGUCUUAAUGCGUCCUAAGAGUACGGUGUCAUUCUACAAUUUUAAGCUGAGCACUAACAAAACAGAAAUUCUGCAGCAUUUACAACACUUAGUAAGGUACCUCAAGCACUGCCAUUCCUAAUAAACCAGAAUGUCAACUUAUUAAUAUAUAAUGAACAACAUCAAGUGGGCAAAGGUAAUGAAAAGGGUUGGUAAGUGCAACCCUCCCCUGUAAGAAGGUUCAUAUGACAGCAGCAUUUUAAGUCGCUUGUUUUCCUCCAAAAUAACUUGUAUAUCCAUUUAUUCUCUCCACCAUCAUGCCCACAUUUCUCUGCAAUAGCUUUCAAACUUUGAUCUCUUCAAUACAUUUCUAUCAAUCAACACUCAGGCAUUGUAACUGAAACAAAAGUUUCACAAAACAUUACUUACAUGUGAUAAAAUCUUUUUUUCUUUUCUUUUUUUUUUUUUUUUUUUCCUUUUUUCUAGGGCCGCUCCCUCGGCAUAUGGAGGUUCCCAGGCUAGGUGUCGAAUCGGAGCUACACCACAGCUCAAAGCAACGCCAGAUCCCUGACCCUUUGACCGAGGCCAGAGAUCAAACCUGCAUCCUCACCGAUUCUCGUCAGGUUUGUUUCUGCUUCACAACAGGCACUCCCUGCUUUAAUCUAGUUAAAAAGGUUGUUUUUUUUUUCCCCCCUGUAAUUCAUUCAUUCAUUCAGCAAUGAUUUAUUUAGAAUCUAAUAUAUGCUAGGCAUUCUGCUAAGCCUUGGAAGGCACUGGCAUACAGGUCCAACGUGGCUCCUAACAUUAUGAAGUUUCCAAUCCAGCCAAGACACUCAUUACAUAAAUAUUUCAUACUCUUUUGAGUGUUCUUAUCCACCUCUCCAAUUUAAUUCAUCCUCCACUUUUACCAUAUUGCUGUAACUAUUCUGAUCUGUACACAGAUCCUGGCAAAAUCCCCUCUUUGGACAUCCUGGCCUUUGUCCAGGAUGUUCCUCCUGAAUGCAAUACCUUAAGCAUCUCACAAAUUUCUUCUCAGCCCUCAAGAGUCAACACAAGAGUCUCCUCCUCUAUAAACAGUUCCCUGGCCUCUUUUCCACACCCCUUUGGUCAUCAUGUCUAUCUCUUGUCAUCAUGAACAGGUCACAUCCCUCUAUUAGAGUGCUGAUCACAUUGUUCUGUGACUAUUUUUGGCAGCACCUGCAGCAUGAGGAAGUUCCGGGACCAGGGAUCAAACCCGUGCCCAACAGUGUCAAUGCUAAAUCGUCAGACCACCAGAGAACUCCUAUGACUACUUUUUUUUUUUUAGGGCCAUAGCCAAGGCAAAUGGAGGUUCCCAGGCUAGGGGUCUAACUGAAGUUGUACCUACUGGCCUACACCACAGCAACACAGGAUCCUUAACCCACUGAGCAAGGCCAAACCUACAUCCUCAUGGAUGCUAGUCAGAUUUGUUAACCGCUGAGCCGCGAUGGGAACUCCUAUGACCACUUUUUAAGAUGUCAGCCUUGCCUAGACUGAGCUACUGUUGUACCCACAGCAGUUUGUUCAUCACAGAAUGAGUGAAUGUAUAAUUUUGUAUGGGUCAAUAACUCCAUUAUUGAUUACUCAGUUGACCCUUGUUUGAAAACGUACAUUUUUCUAGAUUUUACAGUACAAAUAUAGUUUUAGAACUUCCUUCUUAAAGUCUAAUUUCAACAUAUGGAUGUUUUCCUUCAUUAAAAAUCUCAGCAGCAGCCAGUCUAACCUGAGAUAUUUGUCUUGAAAUUGACCCAAUGAAUAUUCUCCAUUCAAUAACUACUCUGGCAAGUAAAAGCGUGCAGGAUUUCCAAAAUCAAUACAUUAGGUCAGUGUCUGAGGCACAGCGAGGUUCACAACAGGCAAAACAGUGUAACACCACGUGUUUUCAUUUCUCAGUGCUAAUCACUUCUGAUGUGAAGAUAAAACUGUCAGACGCCAUCAAUGUUUACCAUCUCCCUCCACCCAACAGAAGGCUUUACUUUCUCCUUUUCAAAUAAUUUCAGCAAACUUUGGUAGAGAAGAAUGAUUUUUUAAACAAGAAACUUUUAAAUAGGUCAUUGUUAUAUAAGAGUAAUAAAGAACACAUUCUGAAUUCAUUCGGGGAAUAUUCUAAAGUUCUCUGUCCACUUUACCUCUUAUCACUUUCCAGGUUAAGACUUAAGAUUUCCCAAAGUAUACUUUUAGGUUUCAAUCUUUGGGGGAAGUCUCGAUUUUUCACAAUUCCAUUACCCAUCAAUGUCUUGAUUCAUUUCCGCUGCUACUAGCCGAGUUCAAAUCUGAAAAAGUCUAACUAAGGGGCUCUGAGACUAGCUAUGGGACCUGGGCAAUUUCUACUACUCACCAUAUGAAAAUAUGAAGACCUACACCUCAGGGUCAUAGUAAGUACAAAUGAAAUAGUAUUCAGGAGAGGGCCUGGCAUCAAGCAGGAGCUAAUCAACUGUAAGGAACCUUCUUUUCUCUCUCUCUCCUCCCCUCUCCAGUCCUCCAUCUUCGACUUCACAGCAGACUCAUACUGAACCGUUAAUGGGAUCUCCUUACUAACCCAAGUAGAAUCCCUCCAAAACUUCCCUACAGCCUAGGACAGGGGUUCUCAAAAUGUGGUCCCCAGACUGGCAGCAGCUCCAUCAACUGAGAACUGAUAAGAAAGGGAGAUUCUCAUGCUCCAUACCUCCUGAACCAGAAACUCUGGAGGCAGGGUCAAGUCUGCCAGCUGAUGGUGAUAUAUGCUCAAGUUUGAGAACCACUGCCUGAGGAUAAAGUCCUGUGUGGUAUUGAAGGGUUUCUCAAACCAGUCUUCUACUUACUGCACUUCUCAGACCUCUCCUAGGGUUUACUCAGUAUCUUACCAUCUUCCAAACCUGCUGCUUACUUUCCCAAUUGAAAUUUUACUCGCCUG
rnacentral:lncRNA from 1 species